rnacentral:misc_RNA from 1 species
UAUAUUUUGAAGUCGAAAUUAACGAUUUUUGUUACAGCUAUUUACUGCAUCCAUAUCUUAUUUUACUGUUUUAUAUUCUACACAGAAGCGAUAAUAGUAAUAUAUUGAAAGUAAUACAGUAAUAUAUUUCAAUAAUACAUUGAAAGAAAGUAGGUAAGCUUGUAUAUAAGUAUGCGCCACUGUCCAGUUUUGAAAUAACUUGUGUACACUUAUCAGCUGAGUAGAAUUAUUCUUCACGCUUUAUAUCAAUUAAUAUAUUAUCAUGCAGUUUAUAUAAAAUUACGGAAAACAAUCAGAUAGAAUAAAAUAUUUGAACAAUUAAAAUAUUACACAACAAAAUUAAUGAAACUCAGUUGUGUACGUGCGUGCAUAUGUGCAUGCAUGUGUGUCUUGUAUGUGUAUUAUUUGUCUGUGUGUAUAUUGAUACUUCUAAACGCAUUUUUUUUUAUUUACGCUUUAACAUUUUAGUUGAGAUUAAGUAAUCAGACAACCUUAGAAAACAUGAGAGCGUUUAAUUUUACAAAUAUUUAGCAAAGCUGAGACUUUUUCGCAGAAUCUACCAAAUAUUUAUAAUCGUUAUACAUGCAGUUAGCAUUUCUGUGGAUAUUAUAAAAUCAGAAGUGUCUUUAUUAGCAUAUAAUUGGAAAAUCGCCCUAUCGUAAUAAUAUGAUGUCACAGAAUACAACAGACAUAUAUUUAAUACAAUUGUACGUACAAUCAACCACGCUCCUUUUAAGAAGCAUGUAUACCUCACGAAUGCCUGGACUAAAAUGAAUAUGAAGACUGUUUGGAAAAAUCAAUUACGCCUGCGCGAGCUUCGGUCGAAAUAUAAUGCCAUGACUAUAUUUUUCUGAGAAAUAAAUAUCUGUUGUACCUUUGGUACGGCGUCAAACCGAUCGAUUAAUCGUUCACUUUUCUCUCCCUUCUCAAAUUGGGAGCAAAUUAUUUCUAUAGCACUCUACAUACCAGUAAUUUAUGUUAUUUGCGUCAGUAUAUUUAGAUUAAAUUUAGGUAAUUUGACUCUAGAAAGAAUAUUAGAGGAAAAAUAUUGUAAAAUAUUUUUUAUUCGGAAAAAGAGACGAAACCUCAUUAUUGCCCUAUCGUUCCCAAAUGCGUGUGGAUGCUCAAACAAACGUGAAUGGUAUUAAUGCUCAAUUUCUUUACAUUCAUCGAAUUUCUCUAAUCGCGAUUGGCUUAUGGCCUUACCACCGAACAAUGCUUGUUCAAGUUCAGUCCUCUCUGUUUUCUUUUAGUACGAUUAGCGUUAUUAUAUUUCAGCUUACAACGUUUCUAACUACAGAAUUAACUGUCGACUUCGUCAUUAAGGUUCUCUCGACAACACUUUUCCUUCUUUUGUGCGUAAUCCAAUACAAUUCUUUUUGGAUUAACACGCAUGUUGUGAAGCGUGUGUUGGAAAACCUUUUGUACGUUUGUAGCGAGUUAAACGAUGAAAACGAAAUUGCUAUAAUAAAAGAAUAUGGACACUUUGCAAAACGUGUUGCGAUUGGAUUUAUAUUGUUGGCGAUGUACGGUGUAUUCGUUUGCUCUUUUUUACCAAUUCUUCCGCGCAUUUUCGGCAUCUUCUUUCUUGUAAAUAAAUCUGAGUCACAUCAUCGCAAUACGUAUAUCAUGACUGAAUAUUUCGUCGAUCAAGAAAAACAUUUUUAUUUUAUUUUGCUACAUCUGUACUCAGCUCUUUUCAUAGCAGUAGCUACGUUACUGGGAACAGCAAUAUUAAUGACAGGAUACUUUAUACACUUCUGCGGAUUAUUUAAUAUUGCUAGUUACCGUAUCGAGCAGGCAAUAAACAGUCACGAAGUAACUAAUCGGAAGUACAAGAGCGAGAUGCGCAAAAAGAUAACUAAUGCAGUGGACAUUCAUCGCAAAACUAUUGAGUUCAUUGACUUCUUUCUGUAUAACUUCGAAGGAACAUUCAUUCUUAUAAUAAUGAUUAUUAUAAUUUGCUUGAGCCUGAAUCUAUUUCGAAUCUUUCAAGCUCUUUCUGAGAACAGCAUAGAAAAUUUCGUAUUACAUUCUAUUUUAAUGGGUGCCAUUUUUGUGUAUUCAUUCGUAGGCCACUAUACUGGUCAAGAAGUUACAGAUCACUAUAAUUACAUAUUUUCUACCGCAUAUAACGUUGUAUGGUACACCGCACCCGUAUGUGUGCAAAAAUUGAUAUUGUUUCUUUUGCAAAGAAGUAGUAAGCCUUAUGGUUUAAAAUUUGGCGGUCUUUAUAUAACAUCAUUAGAAAGCUUUGCCUCGAUAUCAACAGCAUCAAUGUCAUACUUUACUGUUAUGUACUCUAUACAGAAGUAGUACUAAUAGUCAAUCCUAAUAGUAUACAGAAGUAGUACUAAUAGUCAAUCCUAAUAGUAUAUUAAAACCAAAGGAGAAUCCCCUAUUAUGAGAUAUGCUCCUAAUAUGAGAUAA